GAUAAGGACCAGACCUGAUGAGAGGCUUCAACCAUGUUCCUUCAAUGAGACCAGCACACCACAGCGGUCAGUCAAGGAUUUGAUUCAAGUGGGAAGCGGUGGUGUCUGGAACACUCGCUUGGACACAGUGAGGACCGAAGGGAAGAAGGACAAAGACGGCAGGGGACAGCAGGAGCAGAAAAGAAACAUGCCUCCUUCCAAUAAGCCACGUGAGCAAAGCACUUCCAGUCAAGGUCUGCUCCGCACCCUUAAAACCUUCUCUGCUUCCACUGACAGCAACCAAUAAAAGCUAAAGAAACAAACAAAAAAA